GCUGGGUGUAGUGGCCCAUGCCUGUAAUCCCAGCAGCUCAGGAGGCUGAGGCAGGAGGAUCAUAGAUUCAAAGCUAGCCUCAGCAAAAGCAAGGCACUUAGCAACUCAGUGAGACCCUGUCUCUA
rnacentral:sRNA from 1 species